UUGAUAAACCAACAUUAUCAACUAAACUCCACUCAGAAUCGUUUUUUCGUUAGCAAUGGUUUCAUAGGCGUGCACAGGGAAUGCCAUAAAUAAAACGGGCUAUUUUUCUUUGGACUUUUAUCCUCUCACUUAAACACAGAAUAUAAUGAAUACAAAAUAUCGUUUCAUUAAAAAUCAUAUUGUCCAUCUACAUUUUAUACUAGUAUUAUAUUAUCUAAAUAUCUAAAUAUUUAUCACGACGACGGUAUUUUUUUUAAUGACACAAGUAAUAUGUUAAUGAUUCAUUUAAUCAAGUCAACAAUAUUAUAUUUUGUGGAAAUAGUAAGU